GAUGGCCAAAUUAUAUCAUUUAGGUUGAAAAGGCAGUUAGGCAAAUGUUUAAGUUAAAUAACUAUUGAUCAGAAGGUGAAAUUUGAACAUGAAUAGAUAAACCAUAAAGUACUGUCGAAGCUGAACCUGCGACAGUUUUUAGGGAAACUGGGAUUAGAUACCCCAUUAUUACUUACUGUAAAUUAACUAUGUCUACCUGAGUACUACGAACUGUAAAGUUUAAAACUCAAAGGGCUUGGCGGUGUUUUAGACCACUUAGGGGAACCUGUCUCAUAAUCGAAAAUCCACGUUAGACCUGACCUUUUUUUGUACUCAGUCUGUAUACCGUCGUCGUCAGGUAACUUUGAAGAAUAUAGGAGUUGGCCAAAAAAUUACUUUAGUUUAGACGUCAGAUCAAGGUGCAGCUUAUAAAAAGGAGAGGAUGGGUUACAAUUAAUACUUAUAAUACGAAAAGAAGAAUGAAACUUCUGACUAGAAGGAGGACUUAAAAGUAAGGGUAAAAUUAUAAAAAUUUCCUGAAUUGGGCUCUGAAACGUGC
rnacentral:rRNA from 1 species